rnacentral:rRNA from 1 species
AUUGAACGCUGGCGGCAGGCCUAACACAUGCAAGUCGAGCGGAUGAAGGGAGCUUGCUCCUGGAUUCAGCGGCGGACGGGUGAGUAAUGCCUAGGAAUCUGCCUGGUAGUGGGGGAUAACGUCCGGAAACGGGCGCUAAUACCGCAUACGUCCUGAGGGAGAAAGUGGGGGAUCUUCGGACCUCACGCUAUCAGAUGAGCCUAGGUCGGAUUAGCUAGUUGGUGGGGUAAAGGCCUACCAAGGCGACGAUCCGUAACUGGUCUGAGAGGAUGAUCAGUCACACUGGAACUGAGACACGGUCCAUACUCCUACGGGAGGCAGCAGUGGGGAAUAUUGGACAAUGGGCGAAAGCCUGAUCCAGCCAUGCCGCGUGUGUGAAGAAGGUCUUCGGAUUGUAAAGCACUUUAAGUUGGGAGGAAGGGCAGUAAGUUAAUACCUUGCUGUUUUGACGGUACCAACAGAAUAAGCACCGGCUAACUUCGUG